UGAUGCGGCUGGGUUGACCGCUUCAUGGAAUUCGAAUCUUCGAGCCCAUUCCGUAUUGGGUUUGUUCGCCGCAGACCUGCAAAAGGGGCCGGGAGAGGUGCUCCCGGCGUUAGCACUCCGACGCCCAAGUUAGAACACCUCAAAGAUUCGGAGAUAAAUAUAUUUGAGAGAAAAUAGUGUGUUAAGAUCAAAAGAUACUUACCU
rnacentral:lncRNA from 1 species